rnacentral:lncRNA from 1 species
ACAAGGAGUGGACUUGAGGUUUCAGAGGCUAAAGCCCAGUGUUGUGCUCUCUUCCUGCUGCCUGAGGAUCUGGAUGAGAACUCUCAGCCACCUCUCCAGCACCGUGCCUGCCUGCUUGCCACCAUGCUUCUCACCAUGAUGACAAUGGACUAAAACUCUGAACUCUAACAGCACCAUAAAGAUAGAAGACUAGCUACAGGGGAUUCUCCGUACAAUUCAUACUAAAGCCAUUGCCUGGAGAGUCUGGCAUCUUGGACUGAAGGGAGAUGCCAUGGCUGACGGAGUCCUCAUUGGGAAGCAGAGUCUUUGCUGGCUGCUUGGUUCACUUGGGUGGCUACUGCUGUUGCCUUAUUUACAGAGUGGAGAUGGAGAUGAAAUCCAAGGUCUUUCAAGAUAUGCAAAUGAAGCAUCCUUUUUAAAUUCAAAUUGUGGCAUAGCAUUAAAAAACUUAUUUUGAUUAAAAAUUAUACUUGUGAAUCUUCCCAUUCA